GAAUGUACCACGCAGCAAUACUGUCCCUUGGAAAGAGGAUGUAUGACCACGCUAUCAUAGUAGAAGAAUGGAAAGAGAAGAUACUGUUGAAGUAAGCAAACAGCAAGAACAGAACAUUGCGGUGCUAGACACUUGGAUAAAGAAACUGGAGCACUAAGAGAUGAAGUGACUGUCAGCCAUGGUAGUGGACCAACAUCACCUUCAUCUCUGCCCUCGGUCUGCUAACUGUUGACUUUCUCCGUUCCUUGGAAUCCAUUUUCUGCUUGUACACACAAUUACAUAGGGCCCAAAGAACAUUUCUGAGCUGAGCAAACCUGACCUGGAUUCCUUCGGAAAACAUUAGCUGCCCUAUAGAGCAGAUAUAAAAUUUCAGCAGAAAUCUAGAUACGCUACCUAAACGCUAACGUAUAUCUCUAAACUCCUCUAACGCUGUCAUUGUGGCAACAAGAGAAGAAACACGAAGCAGCCCUUGGACUUUAUAUCAACACAUGUGUCUACUACACUAGCACCAAGCCCCACACAGAACAAUAACGUUACAUAGCAGUGUGGAAAUUCCCAGCCAGUGUAUGUACUUGACGUCUUCCCCUUGAAGUCCUACAUUGGUGGAAGAAAUAAGCUCAGUAAAAGUAAUCAAGAGGUGUGGGGUGGAGAGAUGGUCUGGGGUGGGGUGGAGAGAUGGUCCGGGGUUAAGAGUGUGUAUUGCUCUCACAGAGGGCCCUGGGUCAAUUCCAAGGGCCCUCAUGAGCAGGCACCCAGGCUCACAGGUACAUACCC
rnacentral:lncRNA from 1 species